rnacentral:misc_RNA from 1 species
AAGUCGUAACAAGGUUUCCGUAGGUGAACCUGCGGAAGGAUCAUUAAAGAAUACCUGGACUCCGGUCCUCGUCGAGAAAAGGGUCGUCCCGGGUGGCCUCCAGGUCCCGGGCGUCCCUCCUCCUACUUCUGUUGCCUACUCUGUGCUUUGGCACAGCUCCUGCCCGGGUGGUUCCGGGCUUGGGCUCUGCCGGAGGGCCCCAACUCGUGGAUAGUCUAUGUUUGUCUGAGUACGAUAUAAUCGUUUACAA